rnacentral:rRNA from 1 species
AGGACGAACGCUGGCGGCGUGCUUAACACAUGCAAGUCGAGCGGUAAGGCCUUUCGGGGUACACGAGCGGCGAACGGGUGAGUAACACGUGGGUGAUCUGCCCUGCACUUCGGGAUAAGCCUGGGAAACUGGGUCUAAUACCGGAUAUGACCUCCUAUCGCAUGGUGGGUGGUGGAAAGAUUUAUCGGUGCAGGAUGGGCCCGCGGCCUAUCAGCUUGUUGGUGGGGUAAUGGCCUACCAAGGCGACGACGGGUAGCCGACCUGAGAGGGUGACCGGCCACACUGGGACUGAGACACGGCCCAGACUCCUACGGGAGGCAGCAGUGGGGAAUAUUGCACAAUGGGCGAAAGCCUGAUGCAGCGACGCCGCGUGAGGAUGACGGCCUUCGGGUUGUAAACCUCUUUCAGCAGGACGAAGCGACAAGUGACGGUACCUGCAGAAGAAGCACGCUAACUACGUGCCAGCAGCCGC